GAUGAACGCUAGCGGCAGGCUUAAUACAUGCAAGUCGAGGGGCAGCAGCUUUAUAGCAAUAUAGAGGCUGGCGACCGGCAAACGGGUGCGGAACACGUACACAACCUUCCUUUAAGAGGGGGAUAGCCCAUAGAAAUGUGGAUUAAUACCCCGUAACAUAUCGGUGUGGCAUCACACUGUUAUUAUAGUUUCGACGCUUGAAGAUGGGUGUGCGGCUGAUUAGGUAGUUGGCGGGGUAAAGGCCCACCAAGCCUUCGAUCAGUAGCUGAUGUGAGAGCAUGAUCAGCCACACGGGCACUGAGACACGGGCCCGACUCCUACGGGAGGCAGCAGUAAGGAAUAUUGGUCAACGGACGCAAGUCUGAACCAGCCAUGCCGCGUGAAGGAUGAAGGUCCUCUGGAUUGUAAACUUCUUUUUUAGGGGGCGAAAAAAGGGAAUUCUUUCUCACUUGACAGUACCCUAUGAAUAUGCACCGGCUAACUCCGUGCCAGCAGCCGCCGUAA
rnacentral:rRNA from 1 species